rnacentral:tRNA from 2 species
GCCGCCUUAGCUCAGGGGUAGAGCAGCUCACUCGUAAUGAGCAGGCCCUCGGUUCAAUUCCGAGAGGCGGCUCCA